ensembl:lncRNA
GUGAGGGGCGGGUGCGUGGGGUGGGCGCCGGUCGGGUGGGCGGAUGGGGCGGUGCCCGCUCGGAGCUGCCGCCGCGGGGUACUCACGUCCCACCUGCGGAAGGUGGGGCUAGCUCUGGAGGAGUUCCUUGGUGGCCUUGAGGACCUCAGACUUAACCCGGCCGCUGGAGCCAUCCCGGCGGACUGGAAGUGCACGGGCUAGGAGAGCAAGAAGGACGUGACAGGCGGGCGAACCUGACGUAAUUAGUGAACGAGGGCUAAAGAAAAAGAAGUCAGUAGGUGGAGAUGGGGCACACCUUUAGUCCCAGAACUCGGGAGGCAGAAAGAUCUCUAUUUAUUAUUAUUUUGUCAACAUGUAUGUCUGCACUACGAAAGAGGACACUGGAUCCCAUGAAGCUGCAGUAAUAGACAGUGGUGUCCCUCCCUGAUGAUUGCAUGCCAAGAUGAUCUGGUCUUCCCAUCCGUUGUUGUUUUCAGGUGCACUAUGUCUUUGGACCAUCUCCAUGAGUAAGGAAUGAGGACGCUGGGAAUAUAGUGAAGACCAAGAGACUUCCCGACCAGGAAACACCCAGGCAGAGGACCCAUAUUGUGUAAAGCAGAGCACCUGCAUCCUGUACCUUCUGUACCUGUGCUUACUGAUUCACGGACAGCAUGUGGCUUCAUUCUGAGUUCAGGUACAGAGACAGGAUGACUCUUCUUGUUAUGCGCGUAGACAUCACCACCUUUCUAGCACCAUCUAUGAGGCAGAGGACUCCCAGCUAUCCCAGUGCUUCAGCCAGCUCCAUCCCUAUUGCUGACUCUGCCUACCUGAACCACAGCCUAUCCCUUGAGCAAGUUCUACACCUUGUCUCUGCAGUCAGCUCAGCUCAGAGGCCUGAAUUCAACCCAGGGACCCUGUGGUUUGGCAGAUUCUCCAAGAGGCCAACACCACUCCUUACCUUCUUCCCACACCUCACCAGCGACUCUCUUUGUACCUUUAUCAGCCUAUACCUCUGUCUGUUUUAAAAAGAUGUAUUUUCGAAAGUCUAUACAUGGACUGACCCAGGGCUCCAACUGCAUACAUAGCAGAGAAUAGCCUUGUUGGGGCACCAGUGAAAGGGGAAGACCUUGGUCCUGCCAAGGUUCAACACCCAGUGCAGGGGAAUAUGUGG